rnacentral:lncRNA from 1 species
CCCUUACGGCGCCGGAGAGAUGGCGGAGUUGGACAUCGGGCAGCACUGCCAGGUGGAGCAUUGCCGGCAGCGAGAUUUUCUUCCAUUUGUGUGUGAUGAUUGUUCAGGAAUAUUUUGCCUUGAACACAGAAGCAGGGAGUCUCAUGGUUGUCCUGAGGUGACUGUAAUCAAUGAGAGACUGAAGACAGAUCAACAUACAUCUUACCCAUGCUCUUUCAAAGACUGUGCUGAGAGAGAACUUGUGGCAGUUAUAUGUCCUUAUUGUGAGAAGAAUUUUUGCCUGAGACACCGUCAUCAGUCAGAUCAUGAGUGUGAAAAACUGGAAAUCCCAAAGCCUCGAAUGGCUGCCACUCAGAAACUUGUUAAAGACAUUAUUGGUAAGUAUCUAGAAAGCGUGUUUUGUUGCUUUCCUAGUUCCAGAGCUCCUGCUUCUUAUAUCUACUUUCCAAUUAUGGGAGGCAUCAUUAAUAACCCCAGUGGUAUUCGUAUUAACUUGUAUUUUGAUGAUAUUCUUGUGACAGUAUUUCUUAUGAGGUCUACCUGACCGAUGGAAAUUUGGAAAUUAUUUGGAGGUACUCCACU